AUGCUUUCUUUGGCAGCACAUAUACUAAAAUUGGAACAAUACAGAGAUUAGCAUGGCCCCUGCAUGAGGAUGACAUGCAAAUUCGUGAGGCAUGCCAUAUUUAA